UCUUCGUCUUUUCUUGUAAGUAAAACUUUCACAACAGUUAUUUAAUAAAUAAAAUAGAUAGCCGCAUUGUACACGAGGUUAAAAGUCGUAAUAAAAAAUGACUUAAGUGAAUACAAGCAAAGGCUGGGCAAAACUAUUAAGUACAAACUCUGUGGGUUUUGUUGGCAAGUUUUUAUCUAAUCUCAGCAUAUGAUUGAAUUGGAUCAAGAAAAGGAAAAAAAGGCCGGAAAGUUACUGCUAAAGGCAGUUUCCCACUGUCUCCAUUUGGGGCAAGUCUGAAUGGAGAACUCUGUAUGCUGGGAACAACCAAAAGAAGAAUGGACGGAAGCCGUCACGUCUAUAGUAGAACGUGAUGAACACAAUAGACGAUGGUCCCUCUACAUCUCUUAAUAUUACGCUUCUUAAGUUACACGACGUAUCUGCAAUUCAUCAUCGAAAAGAAAGAAUCCGAGGAGCACACUUGUAUGGAGUGUACCGUAUAAAUUGGAUAUAGCCGCCGCAACGACCAGAGAGGAAAAAAAAGAUCGAUAUCAGUAGCAGCAUCAAGCGAGUGAUGCGACGUCGGCAGCAACGUCGGCACAUUUGAUUUUCGUUCGUUCCCGUACGAUUCCGCGUGAUCAAUUGCCGCUUGGAUUGCUGUUGCUUUCGGGAGCACUCCGCUUUUUCUCUGGGCUUGCUCGCUCCAUAUUCCUGUACACUCACCCUCUUUCGUCCAUUUUGCCCGCGUCUAUUUGGCCAAGACGGCUCGUGUAAAUAAGCUAUAGGCACGCGCGCGCAUAGAGCAUUAAUCUCUUUUCCAAGGCAUUCUUGUCAUCUGCCUUUCUCUCUCGUACUUCUAUUUACACAGCCCGUAAACCGCUUCCUUUUGCCCACCGUAGCUUGUCCCGCUAUUUACCUUACACUGACAGAGUGCACUAUACGCUAACACAAGUAAGUAUACCAUAGA